rnacentral:rRNA from 1 species
AGAGUUUGAUCAUGGCUCAGAAUCAACGCUGGCGGCGCGCCUAACACAUGCAAGUCGCACGAGAAAGUGGAGCAAUCCAUGAGUACAGUGGCGUACGGGUGAGUAACACGUGGAUGAUCUACCUCUUAGUGGGGAAUAACCCUGGGAAACCGGGGCUAAUACCGCAUAAGCUCGAGAGAGGAAAGCAGCAAUGCGCUGAGAGAGGAGUCCGCGGCCGAUUAGCUAGUUGGCAGGGUAAAAGCCUACCAAGGCAAAGAUCGGUAGCCGGCCUGAGAGGGCACACGGCCACACUGGCACUGAAACACGGGCCAGACUCCUACGGGAGGCAGCAGUGGGGAAUCUUGCACAAUGGGGGAAACCCUGAUGCAGCGACGCCGCGUGAGCGAUGAAGCCCUUCGGGGUGUAAAGCUCUUUCGGCAGGGAAGAUGAUGACGGUACCUGCAGAAGCAGCUGCGGCUAACUACGUGCCAGCAGCCGCGGUAAUACGUAGGCAGCGAGCGUUGUUCGGAGUUACUGGGCGUAAAGGGUGUGUAGGCGGUUGUUUAAGUUUGGUGUGAAAUCUCCCGGCUCAACUGGGAGGGUGCGCCGAAUACUGAAUGACUCGAGUGCGGGAGAGGAGAGUGGAAUUCCUGGUGUAGCGGUGAAAUGCGUAGAUAUCAGGAGGAACACCGGCGGUGUAGACGGCUCUCUGGACCGUAACUGACGCUGAAACACGAAAGCGUGGGUAGCAAACAGGAUUAGAUACCCUGGUAGUCCACGCCCUAAACGAUGCAUAUUUGGUGUGGGUCAUUCAGUUGAUCCGUGCCGGAGCUAACGCGUUAAAUAUGCCGCCUGGGGAGUACAGUCGCAAGGCUGAAACUCAAAGGAAUUGACGGGGCCCGCACAAGCGGUGGAGCA